rnacentral:rRNA from 2 species
GUCUACGGCCAUACCACCCUGAACGCGCCCGAUCUCGUCUGAUCUCGGAAGCUAAGCAGGGUCGGGCCUGGUUAGUACUUGGAUGGCAGACC